UACGGAGGGUGCGAGCGUUGUCCGGAAUCACUGGGCGUAAAGGGCGCGUAGGCGGCCUGGUAAGUCGGGGGUGAAAUCCUGCGGCUUAACCGCAGGGCUGCCUUCUAAACUGUCAGGCUGGAGCACAGUAGAGGCAGGUGGAAUUCCCGGUGUAGCGGUGGAAUGCGUAGAGAUCGGGAAGAACAUCAGUGGCGAAGGCGGCCUGCUGGGCUGUUGCUGACGCUGAGGCGCGAAAGCUAGGGUAGCAAACGGG
rnacentral:rRNA from 1 species